UACGUAGGGGGCAAGCGUUGUCCGGAUUUAUUGGGCGUAAAGAGCUCGUAGGCGGUUCGUCACGUCGGCUGUGAAAUCCCGAGGCUCAACCUCGGGUCUGCAGUCGAUACGGGCGGACUGGAGUACUGCAGGGGAGACUGGAAUUCCUGGUGUAGCGGUGAAAUGCGCAGAUAUCAGGAGGAACACCGGUGGCGAAGGCGGGUCGCUGGGCCGAUACUGACGCUGAGGAGCGAAAGCGUGGGGAGCGAACAGG
rnacentral:rRNA from 1 species